UUGAUAAAAUUAUAAGGAAACUCUUGUGAGUUGUCUUUUGAGUUUGAUUCGUUGAUUUUCCUUUUGUAGGUUAUGUUAAAUAAGAAAAAUAAAUUAUCAUCCAACUCACUGCGAAAAAGAAAGGAUUGGAAUUCAAUGUGGUAUCAGGAUAAUGGAUUGUUUCUUGGUUUCGGAGCACGAACUAGUUUUCUGGAUUGGUUACAGGAUUCCUCGUAGUUUCCGGUCUCUCUUACGGAUUAUACGGGAUUGUCUACAGGAUUCUUCUGAUGGAAAAUUGGACUGCUGUUCUUCGGAUUUCGGGUCUCGGAUGAUCUCGAGGAAGUUUCAGGAGUUCUCGGAAUAGACAUACAUUGGAGUACACGCCAAAUUUCAUCAAUGAGCAAAGUUAGAAAAAUUCAAUUUUAAAUCAAGGAUUUUCUCCUCAAAAUAACGUUAAAACAUCAAAGGAUGGAUGAAAAAUGGGCUUUAGGAGCUGGACUAUAUUAAUUGAUACUUUUGGAAGCAAACUAAACGGUUUUAGAUAAGAUUUCCACCAACAAAAAAUCUCUCUGUCAAAAUUUCAAGGUUAUAUUCUCUCGGUGAACUAAACAAUGGUUAAUUUUAUCACAAUACAUAAGUAAAAGAAAAUAAAUAAACAUCACAAUAUAUAUUGAUAAACACUUACCUGUGAGGUGGGGUAUCGAGUAAGAUAUUAACUACUACAGAUGCUUUAAGCUAUUAAAGGAACAUUUACACAUCGAAUUGGACACUGCCCAGAUGGCAACCAUCCAGGAAUUCAUUCGUGACAAGGCCUGUACCGAGUUUACGUAGCUCGAAAACCACCCCAAUUCCCUCCUAGCGGGAUUAACGGAUUACAACGUUGAACACCUUCGCCCUAAACGGCCAAGGCUGCUUUUCGUCUGACGAUCCAGGAAUCCGACUGUCCUUCCCAAUUCCACUUUCGAUAUCACUAAAUUAAUGAAUACAAUGUUUCCGUUAGUUUUAGGUCCGAUGAAAAGGGCCACGUUCACCGUUCAAGAUCUUUGAUUUGUUUGUUAAUAUCCUCAAAAUAAAGGUUGAUAAUAUAAGUA